rnacentral:lncRNA from 1 species
AAAAAACCACGUCAGUUGUUAAAUGACAAUCAGAGAAUAACACGAUGUGAAAAUUGUUACAACACAUAGACUAUCCUCAACCACCCCAAGGCCCCAAUACACAUGCAUUCUCCAAAGCAAAUAUUUAACUAUCCUUCACAACACUCUAAAAUAAGAGUAUAAGAGAAAAUAUAAAAAGUCAAAUACAAAUUUAAAGUACUUUUGACUGAUAUAUCUUGGAAUGAAGAACUUGAAUCUUAUAUAUAGCUUUGAACUCCGUCUUCUUUUACAAAACUAAACGAUGUGAGACUUCAAAGAACUUGUAUUCUAUAUAUAAUCCUAUAUUCUCUCUUCAUUUACAAAAAAACUAAGUAAUCUGAAAAAUCUUCAAUAUAUAUAUUUUUAACCAACCCCAUAAAAAGUCAAAUUAAAUAAAUCAUGUCAUAUUAGAUUUAAAUAUGUCAAAUUAUAGAGUUAUGUAGGUCGGUCAAACAUAUUCUCAUCCCUAACCCCUAAUUAUAUUGGGUGACCAAUUCUACCGAACAAUAAACAUAAACUAGACAUCUCAUGUGAAGAUCUUUUCAAAAUCACAUUUGUAAUGCUUAGACUUCACUUUAAAGUGUUAAAACACAAAUAUAGAAAUAUUAUAGUAGUUAUAACAAUUAAGUAACAAUAACAAGCAUCAGCAAUACUAACUUUCAAUGAAGUACAAUGCGCCGUCAAUAAUAACAACAUUAAAAUAAACAAUAACAACAUUUAGUACUCCCCAAAAAACCUUCAUUCUGGGCUUAGGCUAGUUGUAAACUCUCUCAAUGAUGAGAACUAGGAGGUGGAGGAGAAAAGAAGUAGAACGCCGCCGGCGGUGGUGGAGGAAUCUUCCGAUGCCUAUAUGCUGGUGGCACAUGCUGGUGGCACCCAGGUGGUGGUGGCUGUGCACCAUGGUGUGGCUGUGGAAAAGAGUGAACAAAAGUAACGCUUGAUGAAAUGUUGAGUAAGAAAGCCAAUAGAAACGCAAUCAACAAAAGAAAGUUUCUCAUGUUUUUAUCUUUCACUUCUUAACACACACUUUAGUUAUAAACGGUUACAACUUUAAAUCAAAUAAUGGAGACACAUGGUACUUAUAGAGGUAAAAUAAAGAGUCAAAAGUUAUGAGAUUAGUUUCACAUUACUAAAACUAAUAUAAAAUUAAGAUGGGCCAGGGUUGGUAAUUGUUUGGUUAGAGAAGGUGAGAAACACCAACCAUAGCAUAAUAACAUUAAUAAUGAAUCCAAGGUUGGCAUUUCAGUGAAGUUUGAGUUCUAAGAUUUUAGAUUUAAAUGUUUUCGGAUGUUAAUAAUCUUUGUGUCGG